rnacentral:rRNA from 1 species
CAGCAGCCGCGGUAAUACGUAGGUGGCAAGCGUUGUCCGGAAUUGUUGGGCGUAAAGGGCUCGCAGGCGGUUUCUUAAGUCUGAUGUGAAAGCCCCCGGCUCAACCGGGGAGGGUCAUUGGAAACUGGGAAACUUGAGUGCAGAAGAGGAGAGUGGAAUUCCACGUGUAGCGGUGAAAUGCGUAGAGAUGUGGAGGAACACCAGUGGCGAAGGCGACUCUCUGGUCUGUAACUGACGCUGAGGAGCGAAAGCGUGGGGAGCGAACAGGAUUAGAUACCCCGGUAGUCCCUGUCUCUUAUAA